rnacentral:lncRNA from 1 species
CUUUCUCCUCACUGUCAGCACAGGUUUUGUAAAGGUUAAGUGAGCCACAUCCUUUCUGACUGUCUGAGUACACACAUAGGCAGAGCUGAGUGGCAGCCAAACACCUUGAACUUUGCAGCACUCAGGAUUCUUUAGCAUCUCACUGUGUGUGCAGCUGUGUGUUGCCAUUGCCAGUACUCCAGGCACAGCCCAGCCCACAGUGUUCUGUUCCGUGAUGGAAUCUCAUGAUGCAGAGAGGACACACUUGCUCAAUUCUGUGACUAAUAUUUGAUCUG